CGUCCUCAAGGUGAUGCAGUUGGAGGAACUCAUGGCGGUGCGUCAUUCUGUCUUUGUUGUUGGAAAUGCAGGGACUGGGAAAAGCCAGAUAUUGAGAGUUCUCCACAAAACCUAUGUAAACUUGAAGAGGAAGCCGGUAUGGAAUGACCUCAAUCCAAAGGCGGUAGACAGAGAUGAAUUGUUUGGCUUUAUCCAUCACACA